rnacentral:ncRNA from 1 species
GGGGCGGAAUCCGAAAAGCCAUAAGAGUAGGAG